UAGAUGCUACAAAUGAGAUUGGAGCCCCAUUGUGCUAGGAGCUGUACAUUGUAAGAGUUCCUGCUCCCAGUAUAUAUAGACAAGAAGUACACAGGAUGGAGGAGAGACAGAGACAGCAGAUGUUCUCUAAGGACAGAGUGGGGAUCUGAUCUCCGGUAUGAACUGGAGCUGCUGUCAGCUGAGUUUACUCCAUCUUCCAUGAGUGAGAUACCAGUGACUUCUGUUCUGCACAAACCAGGAGUAUCCUAUUUGUUACUGGUGUAAGCUGCCUUUUGCUGACACCAACAUUUGCCAACACGGCUUCAAGAUGAAAGUGACCAGCUUAGUAUGUGAAAUUUUGCCACACUCUGUUCUACUCUCCCAUUAAAAACAAGUACAAGUCA